rnacentral:tRNA from 1 species
AAUGAAAUUCUCAGUUGGGAGAGCGUUAGACUGAAGAUCUAAAGGUCCCUGGUUCGAUCCCGGGUUUCGGCA